UACGUAGGCAGCGAGCGUUGUUCGGAAUUACUGGGCGUAAAGAGUGUGUAGGCGGUGCUCUAAGUUCGGUGUGAAAUCUCCCGGCUUAACUGGGAGGGUGCAGCGGAAACUAGAAUGCUAGAGGGUGGGAGAGGUAAGCGGAAUUCCUGGUGUAGCGGUGAAAUGCGUAGAUAUCAGGAGGAACACCUGUGGUGUAGACAGCUUACUGGACCACUUCUGACGCUGAGACACGAAAGCGUGGGUAGCAAACAGG
rnacentral:rRNA from 1 species